rnacentral:misc_RNA from 1 species
GUAGGUGAACCUGCGGAAGGAUCAUUAUUGAAUAAACUUGGUUAGGUUGCUGCUGGUCUUUAGGGACAUGUGCACACCUGAUUCAAUUUUAACCACCUGUGCACCUUUUGUAGACUUGGAUAUUUGUCUGAGGAAACUCAGUAUGAGGAUUGCUGUGCGAAAGUCAGCUUUUCUUGCAUUCCUAGUCUAUGUUUUAUAUACCCCAAUAAGCAAGUAAUAGAAUGUAAUUAAUAGGCCUUUUGUGCCUUUAAAGCAAAUAUAACUUUCAACAACGGAUCUCUUGGCUCUC